rnacentral:rRNA from 1 species
CCUGGCGGCGAUAGCGCGGUGGUCCCACCUGACCCCAUGCCGAACUCAGCAGUGAAACGCCGUAGCGCCGAUGGUAGUGUGGGGCUUCCCCAUGCGAGAGUAGGACACUGCCAGGC